UGGUGAUUUCUGCUAUGUGGAUCCCAGGGAGGAAAAGGAAAACCACAGCUCUGCACUUGGAGGAGCUGGCAUCGUGGAGAAUUGUUGCUUGAGGGUCACAGGGAGCAGAGCAUGAAGAAUCGCUGUCUUUAGAAGCUGUGAGAUUAAACUACGAAGGAGUCUUCUGAUCCGAGAUAACCAGGUUGACACCCCAUUUACCAUGAAGACAAACAUAUUGCUAUCAUCAAUAGAACAUGAGCACCAAUGCCAGUCAGAGAAGGAUUUCCAUUUUUGAUGCUGUUCAUGUGAGCAGAAAGGCUUUGGGCAUUUUGUCCCCUACAAUACGUGUUCAAGUUACUGGGAAAGGAAGAAGUACUUUUCAAACUUUAAAUAUUUUGCCAGAUUCAAAUGGGUUUUGCCAAGAAUGAUGUUGAUUUUAAAACUGUCCUAUAAAAUACUAUGAGAACCAGUUCCCUAAGAGAAGAAGCUUAUAACAACUAAAAGGGAUGUAUUUAUAUUCACACCUCAUC